AUACGUACCCUGUCCGUCAACCACGCAACAAACCAAGUGACUGUUUCUGAAGGUGACAGGAUCACACUGAGGUGUGAAGUUGACAGCAAUCCACUCUCGACCCUGAAACUAUUAUUUGGACGCAAAGAGCUAACAACGACAUUCAAGUCUCUGACGGUGGAGUAUACAUGGGCAGCUGAUUGUAAACACACAGGGAGAUACUCAUGUGAAGCUGAAAACAGUGUAGACGAUCCUGCUAGAGGCUAUUUGGAACUUUUCGUAAGAUGUGCGCCCAGACCUGAUGAGAUGUCCCCUCUACACCGCAAAUACGUAUCAUCACACGGUGGCAAUGUAAUACUUUCAAUCACAAUCCUGUCAUAUCCUCGUCCAACAAUCAUUUGGAUGAGACCAGAAGGAUAUUACCCGAACAAUCUAUCAUCCUUGUCUGGAGAGACCAGUACCUCGGCAUUGACGGUGGCAUCCACUCUAAACCUGCAAGACUUACAAGAAGACGAUUUUGGGUUGUACCAGGUUCACGCAAACAACGCCGUGGGGCAGAGAGUGGAAACUCUUAUUCUUGUAUCACAAGGCCCUCCACUUGCUCCUACCGAUGUCACAGUACAUGCUACGGAUUCGUCCUCACUGAAUAUUGCAUGGAAACAGGAGUUUAAUGGAGGGUCGGUUCAGAUCUUUACUGUUGAGUAUAGCAAAGACAAGAGACACUGGGCUGAAGCUGGGUCUUAUGAAGAAACAGGAAGAGGGAAGUACCACCAUGUUGUUCUCAAUGAUCUCGAUUCUGACACGACAUACUACGUGAGGAUCAUUACAAGGAACAUAUACGGAGACAGUAUACACACUGUAUCUGUUGAGGGGAGGACAGAAUCACAUUUAAAAGGCAUGAUAAUGAUUCAUUUGGCUUCUUUCUCGAAAAUUCAAGAAUUAUUUAUUGGCACUUAAUAUGCAUUUGCAUCUAUGAAUUUUAUUGUAUAACUCAAUCAACAAUAAUAACUUCAAGUUCUUUAACAUAGGUACACAACAUUUAGGAGUGCAUGCAUAUUCCUUCAUCAGGUGAUUGAAUGCUAGGAUGCAAGGACCAUAUUCCUUCAUCAGGUGACUGAAUGCUAGGAUGCAAGGACCAUAUUCCUUCAUCAGGUGAUUGAAUGCUAGGAUGCAACAACCUUAUUUUUGUAUAUGUAAGAGUAACACAAGUGGUAAGAAGACAAACCUGGUAAUUAAACAAGGGACGCCUAUAGUUACUUAUCGCUGGUUGGUGAUUAGCAAUGUGAAGAAUGAA